GUGGACAUUGACCUAAACAAGACACCAGCAUCAAAAACUCCCAAAAGGCGAAAACACCGGCCGAAGGUAGUAAUAGAAGGGGAAACCAAAAGAACUCCGAAGCGUGCUGCUCCGGUAGAUGGUACUCCAAAUGAGAAUCCAUCAGGAAAAAGGAAGUAUGUCCGCAGAGAUGGCCUCAAAGCUUCAACAACUGAACAAACCGAAGUUAAUGAGUCCGCUGCCCAAAGAAAUAGCACUCCAAAUGAG
rnacentral:misc_RNA from 1 species